GACAGAGGGUGCAAACGUUGUUCGGAAUUACUGGGCGUAAAGCGCGUGUAGGCGGCUAUGUAAGUCGGGCGUGAAAUCCCACGGCUCAACCGUGGAAGUGCACCCGAAACUGCGUAGCUAGAGUCCUGGAGAGGAAGGUGGAAUGCUUGGUGUAGAGGUGAAAUUCGUAGAUAUCAAGCGGAACACCGGUGGCGAAGGCGGCCUUGCUGGACAGUGACUGACGCUGAGACGCGAAAGCGGUGGG
rnacentral:rRNA from 1 species